UUGCUCACAUAGGCAGCAUAUAUGCUAAAAUUGGAAGGAUACAGAGAAGUUUAGCAUGGCCCCUGGCAAGGAUGAUGAGCAAAUUCAUGAGGCAUUCCAUAUUUUU
ensembl:snRNA U6 U6 spliceosomal RNA